UGUCUGGCGCUUAGACCAUAAGGUCCAAAGGCCGGCUGCGGCCGGCAGUCGAACAGUCGAAGGCGAGCACAGGUGUGCAGUUCGCAGGACGGCAUGGGUGAAGUCAUCACGGUUUGCCGAGCAUGGAAUCACUUCAGCCAAUGAGAAACUGCAGAAAGGUAUGAGAGAUGCCAUCGUCAAAUGCUCUCCUUCAAAACCAGGUCAUCCGAAAGCCGAAUUCCUGUUACUUAAUUUUUGAAAAGACCGUAAGUAUGCAAAAUCAUCAGAAUCUGCUACCUGGAACCAAAUGCAACUCAAUAUUGGAUGAGGUAAACAAUAAUAAUUGACUCGUUAAGUACGUGCACAGAUAUGUAGCAAUGGAUGCGAAUGCCUUACAAUGAGAUAUCGUUCGUGAUCAUUAGGGUGCACAACCAUUUCAAGAACAUUUAAUUCUUUGAUCGCUCUCUUCAAUUUAGUGAAGACAAUAGCAAUGAGUUAAGGCGUAAUCGAAGCAAAAUAUCUUGCAUAUGUAGUAAAGCAAUCGCGUAGAAGGUUGCAACGUUACGUAAGAUUUUUAUGGGGAAAGUGGACCAUUUCGGAACUAUAAGAAAGAAAUCGGUUGUAGGUUUCCACGGAAUAGGGGAAUUUAUGAAAGUACAAGACAGACGUGCGGUGUCCCAUCGAAGCAUCUGCUUCGUAUGUUCUAACCGAUCCCGGGUGAUAGACGUGAGGAUGUCGGGGCCAAUUUCCACGUCGACAAUAUUUGGGACCAGCGACGCCCAGGGAUUUUCGAUAAAGCUCCGCGAUUUCCCGAAUACCGAAUUGCGACACGGCACGGGCCUCGACCGAGCGGCCUCGUGCUACGGAAUGGGCGGCAGGCGUCUUGCGAAAGAUGCUGAUUUUCGAUAACACGAGCUUCGGGUUUCGGGCUACGGUCGGCUUACGGUAUCCGGUGGAGGGACCAGGUUCGAUGUAUCGCGAUGAGCUCGAGAAGGAUCGGGUCGGAGGAAAAUCAGUAAUCGACUUAUUUCCUUGAAGUCACAACAAUUUUUUCCAUGCUUUUUCCUUUGCACGGGGUGAGUGCCGGACGAGUAGGCCUGGCGCACAGGCGCACGUGCGGACGGGUUGAGGACAUUGUAACAUUUCUUUCCUUUUUUAACCAAUAAAACAACGCUUAGUGGACAUUUUAUGGCUAUUACAAUCUGAUAAAUGUUCAAUAAGUAAUUUUGCUCUAGCUGGAUUUAAUUGUGAUAAAAACUGCGACGGAUAUUGGGGCCUCGCACCCCACACCCUGCAAAUUUGGGCUUCGUAAUAUUUUUUGGGGAAAAUGUCGACUUCGGUCGGAAGGUAAAAUUUGAAAUAUCGAAAAAGACGGCUCACUGUAUUUCUUUUCGGGGCAGAUUCCGAAAUGUAAACGACGGACGCCGGUCGAAACGUUUCUUGAUCGAAUUCGAAUAUUCUCGUCACAAAUUAAAAUAAAAGGUUUUCAUUGCACACCGCCAUUUUCUACUACGCGUUCCGAAAACUCGUCUUUGGUUUGUUAAAACUUACAUUUUACCAUUUAAUGUUUAGAACUCUUUCGGUGCAUGGGCAAUUAUUUUUAGCCUCGGCAAUCCGCUUAUAAUAACGUUCGAUACGACGAAAUCGUUUAACUCUUUCGAUACGGCUAUGCCUGUCAUCAAAAUGCGAAUAAUACAAAUACAAAUUGCGUUUACGGAACUACGGUAUGGGCCACUUGCGAUUAAAGUUCACUAUUAUUAAAAAGAAAAUGAAAAAAGAUUUAAAAAAUAAAAAGUGAACGAGAAAAAAAUUCGACUGACGUUGGGAAUCAAUGCAAAAUUUUAGCAUGCAACUAUAGUCACUCGUAGUAUUGAAAGGGUUAAACUACAAUUGUACUAAGGUAAUUAUCUUUCUCCUAAUGCGAUAAACAUUCCGUUGAUAUAUUUCGUUAGUUAAGCCCAGAAAUGUAUAUCGUCAGCAUGGUAAUUACGUUAACUUACGACCGUCUUCGUUCAAUGAUACAAGAAAAACAUGUGUUUUCUUAGGUUAAGC